rnacentral:rRNA from 1 species
UACGAAGGGGGCUAGCGUUGUUCGGAAUCACUGGGCGUAAAGGCGCGUAGGCGGCCCGCACAAGUCUGCGGUGAAAACCUCCGGCUUAACCGGGGGCCGGCCGUGGAAACUGUCGGGCUGGAGGCUGGGAGAGGGCAGCGGAAUUCCCGGUGUAGCGGUGAAAUGCGCAGAUAUCGGGAGGAACACCAAUGGCGAAGGCAGCUCGCUGGGACGGUACUGACGCUGAGACGCGAAAGCGUGGGGAGCGAACAGG